rnacentral:rRNA from 1 species
UCCAGACUCCUACGGGAGGCAGCAGUGGGGAAUAUUGGGCAAUGGGCGCAAGCCUGACCCAGCAACGCCGCGUGAAGGAAGAAGGCUUUCGGGUUGUAAACUUCUUUUGACAGGGAAGAGCAGAAGACGGUACCUGUCGAAUAAGCCACGGCUAACUACGUGCCAGCAGCCGCGGUAAUACGUAGGUGGCAAGCGUUGUCCGGAUUUACUGGGUGUAAAGGGCGUGUAGCCGGGCUGACAAGUCAGAUGUGAAAUCCGGGGGCUCAACCCCCGAACUGCAUUUGAAACUGUUGGUCUUGAGUAUCGGAGAGGUCAUCGGAAUUCCUUGUGUAGCGGUGAAAUGCGUAGAUAUAAGGAAGAACACCAGUGGCGAAGGCGGAUGACUGGACGGCAACUGACGGUGAGGCGCGAAAGCGUGGGGAGCAAACAGGAUUAGAUACCCCCGUA